UUUAUCUUUAUCCCUUUUAGGGAACGUAACAUCAUCUAAUUUCAACCAAAUUUAUAUAUAUUUUUUUGAAGUCUAUCUAGAUAUUAUAUUUAUCGAAUUGAAUAUGUGAUUGGAUGUAAUCAUUGGAUAUUCUAAACCUUUCUAAUCAAUGGUAAUCACUCCUACUAUAAGAACUGAUUCCAAACCCCUGAUGAAGUCCUAACGGACGAAACGCGUUGGGUUUUGCAACGUCUGGUUAACAAAGUCCUUAUCACAAACAUCUGGUUGGAGAUACAUCCAUUUUGAGUUCUGACUGUGAUCACCUGGCUGUAAAAUCCUCACAUCCAACUGUAAUUUAUGUAUAAGAUUGUAAUAUUGUUUUAUAUGAAUUUUUAGAAGGUUGUGUCAAUAACGAACGCUUAGGAUAAAUAUCGUUUGUUUCUGUACAAUAAAAACUUUUAAUUAUUGUCAUACAAAAGGCA